rfam:Picea glauca, whole genome shotgun sequence.
GGGUGCCAUCAUAUCAAUGUUAAUGCACCAGAUCCAAUCAGAAAUCCACAGUUAAGCACGCUUGGGAUAGAGUAGUACUGGGAUGGGUGACCUCCCGGGAAGUCCUAGUGUUGCACCCU